AUUGAACGCUGGCGGCAGGCCUAACACAUGCAAGUCGAGCGGAUGAAGGGGGCUUGCUCCUGGAUUCAGCGGCGGACGGGUGAGUAAUGCCUAGGAAUCUGCCUGGUAGUGGGGGAUAACGUCCGUAAACGGGCGCUAAUACCGCAUACGUCCUGAGGUAGAAAGUGGGGGUUCUUUGGACCUCACGCUAUCAGAUGAGCCUAGGUCGGAUUAGCUAGUUGGUGGGGCAAAGGCCUACCAAGGCGACGUUCCGUAACUAGUCUGAGAGGAUGAUCAGUCACACUGGAACUGAGACACGGUCCAGACUCCUUCGGGAGGCAGCAGUGAGGAAUAUUCGACAAUGGGCGAAAGCCUGAUCCAGCCAUGCCGCGUGUGUGAAGAAGGUCUUCGGAUUGUAAAGCACUUUUAGUUGGGAGGAAGGGGAGUGGGUUCAUACGUUGCUGUUUUGACGGUACCAACGGAAAAAGCCCCGGCUAACUACGUG
rnacentral:rRNA from 1 species